GGCCAGUUUGCUCAAUGGACAGAGUGUUGGCCUGCAAACCAAAGGGUCCUGGGUUCGAUUCC
rnacentral:tRNA from 1 species